rnacentral:rRNA from 1 species
AAUCAAUAGUUCCUUAAUUGGGAACUGGAAUGAAUGAUUUGACGAGAUAUUGACUGUCUUGUUGUGAGAAGUUGAAUUUAACUUUUUAGUUAAAAGGCUGAAAUGAUAGUGGAGGACGAGAAGACCCUAUAGAACUUAAUUAAUUGAGAUGAUAUGAGGUUUAGUGUUGAAUUACAUAUUUUGGAAGAUUAAUUUCGUUGGGGUGACGCGUAGAUAAAAAUAACUCUAUGUAUAAAUGGAUAAUAAUAAUUAGUAUUUAUGAUUUUAUAUUAUAAGUUUAAGAAAAGUUACCUUAGGGAUAACAGCGUUAUUUUUCUUGAGAGUUCUUAUUGAUAGAAGAGUUUGCGACCUCGAUGUUGGAUUAAGAGAAUAUUUGGGUGUAGAAGCUUAAAUAGAGGGUCUGUUCGACCAUUAAAUU